rnacentral:rRNA from 1 species
CCCUUAGAUGUUCUGGGCAGCACGCACGCUACAAUGGUCUUCGCAAACGGAUGCAUUCUCGAAGGAGAAUGCCAAUCUUGGAAUCUAUGCCUUGGUCGGGACAGUUGCUUGCAAUUUUUCGACUCGAACCAGGAAUUCCUUGUAAUCGUGAUUCAUCACAUCACGAUGAAUACGUCCCUGCCCUUUGUACACACCGCCCGUCGCUCCUACCGAUCGAAGAGUUAGGUGAAUUGUUUUGAUCGAUAAGAUUUGACUAUGGUCAACUCUCGUUGUGAAAUUCUGUGAAUCUGACUGUUUAGAGGAAGGAAAAGUCGUAACA